ACGACGGACAAUUAUCUGUCAUGGCGUGCACAGGUGUUGCCACUUCUCCGCAGUCGUUAUCUGGAGGGCUACGUCGAUGGUUCCUUGCCGUGUCCUCCACCACAUCACCUGGCAUACCAUGCGUGGGUGGCUCAGGAUCAGGCCAUACUUUCGGCGAUCCAGUCGUCGCUCACCGAGGCGGUGUCCUCCUUGGUUCUCUUCACUGCCACGUCCCAGGAGGCGUGGUCUGCCCUUCACACUAGCUUUGCAUCUCAGCAGCAGGCUCGUGCUCACACUCUUCGUACGGAGCAGGGAGAGACCAAGCUUCUUGACCUCAGCAUUACCGACUACUUCGGCAAGAUGACGCGUCUCGCAGACACUCUAGCCUCCAUUGGUCAACCGCUUCGCAAAGAGGACUUCACCACUUUCGUCAUGAAUGGUCUGGAUGACGACUAUGAUAAUUUUGCUGAGAACAUCAAUGGCCGUGAUACUCCACUUGAACCCCGUGAGCUCUACGCCCGCCUCCUUGCCACGGAA
rnacentral:rRNA from 1 species